rnacentral:rRNA from 1 species
AGGACGAACGCUGGCGGCGUGCCUAACACAUGCAAGUCGAACGAGGUCCAACCGGUAGCAAUACCGGUGAAGAUCAAGUGGCGAACGGGUGAGUAGCACGUGAGCAACCUGCCCCGAAGACCGGGACAACACCGGGAAACCGGUGCUAAUACCGGAUAUCCCCACUGAGUCGCAUGGCUCGGUGAGGAAAUGGAUUCCGCUUCGGGAGGGGCUCGCGGCCUAUCAGCUUGUUGGUGAGGUAACGGCUCACCAAGGCUUCGACGGGUAGCUGGUCUGAGAGGACGAUCAGCCACACUGGGACUGAGACACGGCCCAGACUCCUACGGGAGGCAGCAGUGGGGAAUCUUGCACAAUGGGCGCAAGCCUGAUGCAGCAACGCCGCGUGAGGGACGAAGGCUUUCUGAGUUGUAAACCUCUUUCAGCAGGGACGAUUGUGACGGUACCUGCAGAAGAACGCCCGGCCAACUACGUGCCAGCAGCCGCGGUAAUCGUGA